AUUGAACGCUGGCGGCAGGCUUAACACAUGCAAGUCGAACGAGUGGCGGACGGGUGAGUAAUGUCUGGGAACUUGCCUGAUGGAGGGGGAUAACUACUGGAAACGGGAGCUAAUACCGCAUACCAUCGGAUGUUCCCAGAUGGGAUUGGCUAGUAGGUGGGGUAAAGGCUCACCUAGGCGACGAUGCCUAGCUGGUCUGAGAGGAUGACCAGCCACACUGGAACUGAGACACGGCCCAGACGCCUACGGGAGGCAGCAGUGGGGAAUAUUGCACAAUGGGCGCGAGCCUGAUGCAGCCAUGCCGCGUGUAUGAAGAAGGCCUUCGGGUUGUAAAGUACUUUCAGCGGGGAGGCGUUACCCGCAGAAGAAGCACCGGCUAACUCCGUGCCAGCCGCCGCGGUAAUA
rnacentral:rRNA from 1 species